AUAUUAUUAAGCGGAGGAAAAGAAACUAACAAGGAUGCCCUCAGUAACGGCGAGUGAAGCGGGCAAAGCUCAACCUGAAAAUCGGAUAUCCAAGCGGGUGUUCGAAUUGUGGGCUAGAGACGCAUGAUCAGUGUGUGACCUAGGUAUAAAUCUUUUGAAACAAGGUAUCAUAGAGGGUGAGAAUCCCGUCUUUGACCUAGAGUUUCGCCACGUACGAUCUGUGUUCAGAGAGUCGAGUUGUUUGGGAUUGCAGCUCUAAAUGGGUGGUAAAUUUCAUCUAAAGCUAAAUAUCGACGAGAGACCGAUAGCGAACAAGUACCGUGAGGGAAGGAUGAAAAGAACUUUGAAAAGAGAGUUAAAAAGUACUUGAAAUUGCUAAGAGGGAAGCACUGGAAACCAGUCGUGACUUGCGUAUAUUUUUAGCAUUUGCUCCCGGAUAUUGCUGUCGAUCUUAGAGCCCAAAGCCUAGUCGAUGGUAAUUGAUGGUGUGAGUGCGUCCUGUAUUGUAAGUCGGAUCAGAAUCAAUUUGAUUCGUGAGAGAAAGCUAUGGCAACGGUAGUUCUGCCCAGGGAAACUUGGAUGGAAUGUUUAGUGCUGUAGUGCUAUCAUGGAUUGGAUUGAGGUACAAUUGAAAUGCGCAC
rnacentral:rRNA from 1 species